rnacentral:misc_RNA from 1 species
GAUGAAGAACGCAGCGAAAUGCAAUAAGUAGUGUGAAUUGCAGAAUUCAGUGAAUCAUCGAAUCUUUGAACGCACAUUGCGCCCCUUGGUAUUCCAUGGGGCAUGCCUGUUCGAGCGUCAUUUGUACCUUCAAGCUUUGCUUGGUGUUGGGUGUUUGUCUCGCCUUUGCGUGUAGACUCGCCUUAAAAUAAUUGGCAGCCGGCGUAUUGAUUUCGGAGCGCAGUACAUCUCGCGCUUUGCACUCAUAACGACAGCGUCCAAAAGUACAUUUUACACUCUUGACCUCGGAUCAGGUAGGGAUACCCGCUGAACUUAAGCAUAUCAAUAAGCGGAGGA